rnacentral:rRNA from 1 species
CGGUAAUUCCAGCUCCAAUAGCGUAUACUAAAGUUGUUGCAGUUAAAAAGCUCGUAGUUGGAUUUCUGCGGGGACGGAGCGGCCGGACGCAACUUGCGUCUCGAGCUAGCGCUUUCCCCGCAUCCUGCCGCGAACCGUGCUACCAUUAGUUUGGUGGCGCUGGGGAUCGGCUCGAUUACUUUGAGAAAAAUAGAGUGUUCAAAGCAGGCCACACGCCUUGAAUAAGUUAGCAUGGAAUAAUGACUAAGGACUUCGGUUCUAUUUUGUUGGUGUUCGGGACUGAAGUAAUGAUUGAUAGGGACAGUUGGGGCGGUCUGUAUUCCAAAGCGAGAGGUGAAAUUCUUAGACCUUCGGAAGACAAACAGCUGCGAAAGCGUUCCGCAAGAAUGUUCCCUUUGAUCAAGAACGAAAGUUGGGGGAUCGAAGACGAUCAGAUACCGUCGUAGUCUCAACUAUAAACUAUACCAGCUAGGGAUCGGCCAACGUUUAAUUAUUCGACUUAAUCGGCACCUUAUGAGAAAUCAAAGCAUCUGGGUUCCAGGGGGAGUAUAAUCGCAAAACUGAAACUUAAAAGAAUUGACAAAAAAGCACCACCAGCCGUGGAGCCUGUGGCUUAAUUUGACUCAACACGGGAAAACUUACCAAAUCCAGACAUAGGAAAAAUUGACAGAUUGAUAGCUCUUUCUUGAUUCUGUGAGUGGUAAUGCAUGGCCGUUUUUAGUUAAUGGAGUGAUUUGUCUGCUUAAUUGCGUUAACAAACGAGACCCCAGCCUGCUAAAUAGCGCGGCCGAGCUUUGCUCGGUACGAGCUUCUUAAAAAGACCAUAAUGCGCGAUAGCACAAGGAAGUUUAAAGCAACAACAGGUCUAUGAUGCCCUUAGAUGUUCUGGGCCGCACACAAACUACACUGGCGCCUGCAACGAGCAUAUCAGCUGGCCCGAGAGGGUCUUGGCUAAUCUUUUGAACCGGCGCCGUGCUUGGGAUUGACCUUUGCAAUUGUUGGUCAUGCAACGAGGAAUGCCUUGUAAACGCGAGUCAUCAGCUCGCAUUGAAUACGUCCCUGCCCUUUGUACACACCGCCCGUCGCUCCUACCGAUGAAUGUUCCGAUGAAAUUUUCGGAGAGCGCCAGAAAACGGGGCUCUGCCUUGCAGAUCUGGAGGCUCAAAGUCACUUAAAUCUGAACAUUUCGAGGAAGGAGAAGUCGUAACAAGGUAGCCG